CUCGUAGGCGGCUUGUCGCGUCUGCUGUGAAAUCCUGGGGCUUAACUCUGGGCGUGCAGUGGGUACGGGCAGGCUAGAGUGCGGUAGGGGUGAUUGGAAUUCCCGGUGUAACGGUGGAAUGUGUAGAUAUCGGGAAGAACACCAAUGGCGAAGGCAGGUCUCUGGGCCGUUACUGACGCUGAGGAGCGAAAGCGUGGGGAGCGAACA
rnacentral:rRNA from 1 species